AAGAAGAAAGAAAGUAUAAAAUCAUAUUCUACUUAGGUAUUUUGUUUCAUCAGAUCUGGUUGUCUACGUAUCUCCUCCAUCUUUUGUGUGCUCAGUGCUUUUGGUUCUUCGUUUAAUCAUUCCUCUUGCUGGAAUUUGUUUCUUUUUUGUGCAUCUUCGGUAAGUUAUCGUCCCUUAUUUUUGGGGGCCUAAAGCGACUGCUUUAGUGCCUUUAGGGUUGAGCCGCCCUUGAGUGUAUGAAUGAGAAAAUCAAUUUAUUUUCUUCUCCUUCUUAUUUGUAAUAAUGUUUUGUUUUUUUUAUCUCUUUUGCAUUGUUAUAACUGUUAAGUUGCUGAUUUUGCUUUACAAUGUGUAAAUGCAGGGACGAACUAGUUUGGGAUUAAGUCAUAGUUGUUGUCGUAUUUGUGUAGUACUGAUACUAAUCUCAUGAACUUGUAUAUUAGAAAGCUAACUUCUACAUACUUCUCUGUUUUUCACCCAUUUGAGGUUCGUUUCUUUAGCUACUUUUCCACCUUGUCUAGUGAUUCGCAGCAGAAAUGCGUGAACGAUGGUGAUGUUAAUGUUGUACUUGCUAGAAUAAGUCCUGGAAGUAGUGAAGCUGAGGUUCUCCAAUCAUUGCUUUCUGAUCCGGCUUGUGAUUCCAUUCACAUUACUGACAACUUUGUUGAUAGGCUUCUAUAUCGCUUCAAAGAUGACUGGAAGUCUGCACUUGGUGCUUUUAGAUGGGCUCAAUUACGUCCCCACUACAAGCCUUCACCAGAAUUGUACGAUAAGUUAGUGGAUAUACUAGGAAAGAUGAAGAAAAUGGAAAGGAUGCGUUCAUUGAUAGACGAAAUGCAUGCAGACCAUCUUAUUUCUCUUAAUACAAUAGCAAAAGUUAUGAGAAGGUUUGCAGGUGCACGAGAGUGGAAAGAAGCAGUGAGGACAUUUGAUGAGUUGGGAAAAUUCGGUUUGGAGAAGAAUACAGAGUCAAUGAAUUUGUUACUUGACACUCUGUGCAAAGAAAAUAGAGUCCAACAGGCGCACGAAAUCUUUUACGAGCUCAAGUUGCAUAUCCCACCAAAUGCAAACACGUUUAACAUUUUUAUUCAUGGUUGGUGCAAAGUGAAUCGGGUAGAAGAAGCAUACUGGACAAUUCAGGAGAUGAAAGGCAGUGGCUGUUGUCCUUGCGUCAUCAGCUACUCAACCAUCAUCAAGUCUUACUGCCAGCAAUUUAACUUCCUGAAGGUCUACGAGCUGCUUGAUGAAAUGCAAGGAGAAGGAUGUGUACCAAAUGUUGUCACUUUCACCACCAUCAUGUGUUUCUUGACAAAGUUGGGGGCAUUUGAGGAAGCCCUUAAGAUUGCUGAGCGGAUGAAAUCAGUUGGCUGUAAACCUGAUACUCUUUUUUACAAUGCUCUGAUUCAUACAUUAGGCAGGGCACACCAAUUACAAGAAGCUACUCGUAUUAUGAAGGUUGAAAUGCCCAGAAAUGGUGUUCAACCCAAUACAUCAACUUACAAUACUAUCAUUGCCAUGUUUUGCCAUCAUUUGCAAGAGGAUAGAGCGCUAGAAUUUUUAAGGGAUCUAGAAAGUUCACCAUUUUGUAAACCUGAUGUUCAAUCAUACUUUCCGCUGCUCAAGUUGUGCUUUAAAGUUGGAAAGACGGAUGAAUUCCUGAAAAAGUUGGUGAAUGACAUUGUCAAUAAGCAUCAUCUAAGUCUUGACCUAUCAAGUUAUGCACUUCUUAUCCAUGGUUUGUGCAGAGCAAAUAAAUGUGAAUGGGCGUAUAUUAUUUUUGAGGAUAUGGUCUGCCAAGAGAUUACUCCUCGAUACAAGACAUGCAGUGUUCUGCUGCAGGAAAUUAAACAAAAGAAUAUGUAUGAGGCUGCUGAUAGGAUUGAACUGUUCAUGAAGAAAAUGAAGACCGCCUGAACAUUUCCUGGAUACUAAUUUGAUGAUUCAUUUAUCAAGUAACAAGUUUCUCUUCUUGUGUGCCUGCAGCUUUCGACAGUUGUUGAAUUUGAAAUGUUGAUUUCUUGAUCUGGCUUAACACUGAAAUCUGGGAAUAGUUGCUGCAGCUGUUGCCCUGGUUUGGAUUAUCUUCCGGUUCACAAGGCAAGUGUUGGAGCAGUUCUCAGGAGUCCACUGUUGCUUUAAAAGACUAACUGCUUAGGCUAAUGUUACAAAGCUCCAUGCCAGGUUCUAGUUCAUUGCUUAUGAUCCUAGUUUUUCUUUUCUUUCUGUAGGCUUGUGAAGUUGAGUGAUAUUGAGAAUGUCUAAAAUCUAUACUUAAUUUUAUGAUUAUUGGAAUUCCAAGUUGAUGCUUAGCAGAUUAACCCUUUUCCUGAUGAUAUGUGGCAUUGGUGGAUUGUCCAUUGUCCUCUACGCUUGAGUUGCACUCACUCGCAUUUAAAUUACUUUGCCAGCGUUUGCUCUUCUUCAGGCUGCAAUAAAGAAAUGGAAUACUUACUAUUUUAUGCAUGCCUUGAGAAGGAUAAAAUGGCUUCAAAUAAGUGCAGAUUUGGUGUAUGUGCACAAAAAUAUACGACCCUUACAGUGGAGAACCCAAAAUACUUGGAUGAUGAUUUUGGAAUUCUUGAAAUUGCCAACUUCUUUUUUUGGCAUAAUCCUGGUGGCUGGUGUUUUGGGCCAACUUGCCAGCACAUUGCUUAUUCCAUCGAGUACUUGUUAUGACAACAGAGACACCGAGUUACUCUACCCACGAAGGCUUAGGUAGAUGAGAAAAAUUAUGUGUCACAUUCAUCUUUGUUGAGAUUUGAACCCUGGUCUACCGUGAUUUUCACCCACUUCAUUUACGGCUAGGCCAUACCCAUGGUGCCAGACCUAGAAGCCAUAAAUUUUUACUUUUGGAUGAUGAAAGGCUGUUGUAGAAUGCUCUGGUUUCGACUUAUUUUAAGAUUUACGGACUUUCUUUUUAUGGAUAAAACAUACAGAAAUGAAUGUGAUGUUUCAGUCCAUUAUUUUGUAAGUGACAUUGAAAUGAAUGCCUUCUCAGCCCAA